GCCUAAAAUGCCUGUAUAUGUGCUUUAAUAUUCCUGCAAGGCAUGCAGUAUGCAACAACUGCAAAGACGACCCGUCUUCUGGUGAAUGUAAAACUGGAACUGCAGAUAUCUUAUUUUGUAAUAAUGUUAGGGUCACGUCUUUCAGCGACUCAUCAGGACCAGCUUGCAGUACUCUUCUGUUUGGAGGUAUCAUAGUUCCUGAUACUUCUGCUUGCAAUUGGGACUUCCCGUAUUUCCAAGCUGAAAUCGUGUGCAUUUCAAGCUCAUCAUGGGUCAGCAUUGGAUGACUUUCCUGGAGCUUCAACAAGAUCAAAAUGAAAUCAGAUGCAGUAAGCAUUCCUGAAAUCAUCGCAUUCUGUCCAUCCCAAAGAGGCAUCACUGCAAGUCGCUGAACAUAUAUUCAGCUAGU
rnacentral:misc_RNA from 1 species